rnacentral:tRNA from 1 species
GAGGAUGUAGCUCAGUGGAUAGAGCUACGGUUUUCUAAACCGCAGGUCGUGGGUUCGAAUCCCACCUUCCUCGCCA